GACCCCUUAUUUUCUACAAAACACAAUACAAUAGAGGAAGGAUACUUGUCCACAUGAUGAAGCAUGUAUUUAAUGUAGCAAAAAAUUACAUUAACUCAUUUUUCGAACCCUAAUGAGCAGUUACUGCCUUUUUGCUUGUUAGGCCAGAAUAGAAUGCUAUAGUACUUACAACGGGUCGGUUGUUCUGAAUGGUGUGUGUUGAGGUUGAUCGUUAGUGAGUCCGGGUCGGUUGUUCUGAAUGGUGUGUGUUGAGGUUGAUCGUUAGUGAGUCCGGGUCGGUUGUUCUGAAUGGUGUGUGUUGAGGUUGAUCAGUAGUGAGUCCGGGUCGGUUGUUCUGAAUGGUGUGUGUUGAGGUUGA
ensembl:lncRNA